rnacentral:rRNA from 1 species
UCCGAGUUGUAAUUUGUAGAGGAUGCUUCGAGCAUGGUCUGGCCUAAGUUCCUUGGAACAGGACGUCAUAGAGGGUGAGAAUCCCGUAUGCGGCCAGGUGCCUACGCUCAUGUGAAGCUCCUUCGACGAGUCGAGUUGUUUGGGAAUGCAGCUCAAAAUGGGUGGUAAAUUUCAUCUAAAGCUAAAUAUUGGCCAGAGACCGAUAGCGCACAAGUAGAGUGAUCGAAAGAUGAAAAGCACUUUGGAAAGAGAGUUAAACAGUACGUGAAAUUGUUGAAAGGGAAGCGCUUGCAACCAGACUUGCGCGCGGCCGAUCAUCCGGUGUUCUCACCGGUGCACUCGGCCGUGCUCAGGCCAGCAUCGGUUUUGGCGGCUGGAUAAAGGCCCUAGGAAUGUAGCUCCUCUCGGGGAGUGUUAUAGCCUAGGGUGCAAUGCAGCCUGCUGGGACCGAGGACCGCGCUUCGGCUAGGAUGCUGGCGUGAUGGUUGUAAGCGGCCCGUCUUGAAACACGGACCAAGGAGUCU